UACGGAGGAUGCGAGCGUUAUCCGGAUUUAUUGGGUUUAAAGGGUGCGUAGGCGGAUUUAUAAGUCAGUGGUGAAACCCUGCAGCUUAACUGUAGACUUGCCAUUGAUACUGUUGGUCUUGAGUGUGGUCAAGGCAGGCGGAAUGUGUAAUGUAGCGGUGAAAUGCUUAGAUAUUACACAGAACACCGAUUGCGAAGGCAGCUUGCUGGGCCGUUACUGACGCUGAUGCACGAAAGCGUGGGGAUCGAACAGGAUUAGAUACCCUGGUAGUCCACGCCGUAAACGAUGAUCACUAGCUGUUGGCGAUAUACAGUCAGCGGCAAAGCAAAAGCAUUAAGUGAUCCACCUGGGGAGUACGGCCGCAAGGCUGAAACUCAAAGGAAUUGACGGGGGCCCGCACAAGCGGAGGAACAUGUGGUUUAAUUCGAUGAUACGCGAGGAACCUUACCUGGGCUUAAAUGUAGAUUGCAUUGGUGGGAAACCAUCAUUCCCUUCGGGGCUAUCUGCAAGGUGCUGCAUGGUUGUCGUCAGCUCGUGCCGUGAGGUGUCGGGUUAAGUCCCAUAACGAGCGCAACCCUUAUCGUUAGUUGCCAGCGGGUAAAGCCGGGAACUCUAGCGAAACUGCCGGUGUAAACCGAGAGGAAGGUGGGGAUGACGUCAAAUCAGCACGGCCCUUAUGUCCAGGGCUACACACGUGUUACAAUGGCCGGUACAGAGGGCAGCUAUGCUGUGAGGCAAUGCGAAUCUCGAAAGCCGGUCUCAGUUCGGAUCGGAGUCUGCAACCCGACUCCGUGAAGCUGGAUUCGCUAGUAAUCGCGCAUCAGCCAUGGCGCGGUGAAUACGUUCCCGGGCCU
rnacentral:rRNA from 1 species